UUAUGAGAGUUUGAUCCUGGCUCAGGACGAACGCUGGCGGCGUGCCUAAUACAUGCAAGUCGAACGCUUCUUUUUCCACCGGAGCUUGCUCCACCGGAAAAAGAGGAGUGGCGAACGGGUGAGUAACACGUGGGUAACCUGCCCAUCAGAAGGGGAUAACACUUGGAAACAGGUGCUAAUACCGUAUAACAAUCGAAACCGCAUGGUUUUGAUUUGAAAGGCGCUUUCGGGUGUCGCUGAUGGAUGGACCCGCGGUGCAUUAGCUAGUUGGUGAGGUAACGGCUCACCAAGGCCACGAUGCAUAGCCGACCUGAGAGGGUGAUCGGCCACAUUGGGACUGAGACACGGCCCAAACUCCUACGGGAGGCAGCAGUAGGGAAUCUUCGGCAAUGGACGAAAGUCUGACCGAGCAACGCCGCGUGAGUGAAGAAGGUUUUCGGAUCGUAAAACUCUGUUGUUAGAGAAGAACAAGGAUGAGAGUAACUGUUCAUCCCUUGACGGUAUCUAACCAGAAAGCCACGGCUAACUACGUGCCAGCAGCCGCGGUAAUACGUAGGUGGCAAGCGUUGUCCGGAUUUAUUGGGCGUAAAGCGAGUCAAGAUGCGGGCAAAGAAAAUGACAGAAGAGGCAGAUGCCCAGUCGAUCCGCUACACUACAAAUAACCCGAUGAGUGCAGAAGAGGAGAGUGGAAUUCCAUGUGUAGCGGUGAAAUGCGUAGAUAUAUGGAGGAACACCAGUGGCGAAGGCGGCUCUCUGGUCUGUAACUGACGCUGAGGCUCGAAAGCGUGGGGAGCAAACAGGAUUAGAUACCCUGGUAGUCCACGCCGUAAACGAUGAGUGCUAAGUGUUGGAGGGUUUCCGCCCUUCAGUGCUGCAGCUAACGCAUUAAGCACUCCGCCUGGGGAGUACGACCGCUAGGUUGAAAAGGCAAGAACGACACUUAGAUAGUGGAAAACGGUGGAGCAUGUGGUUUAAUUCGAAGCAACGCGAAGAACCUUACCAGGUCUUGACAUCCUUUGACCACUCUAGAGAUAGAGCUUCCCCUUCGGGGGCAAAGUGACAGGUGGUGCAUGGUUGUCGUCAGCUCGUGUCGUGAGAUGUUGGGUUAAGUCCCGCAACGAGCGCAACCCUUAUUGUUAGUUGCCAUCAUUCAGUUGGGCACUCUAGCAAGACUGCCGGUGACAAACCGGAGGAAGGUGGGGAUGACGUCAAAUCAUCAUGCCCCUUAUGACCUGGGCUACACACGUGCUACAAUGGGAAGUACAACGAGUUGCGAAGUCGCGAGGCUAAGCUAAUCUCUUAAAGCUUCUCUCAGUUCGGAUUGCAGGCUGCAACUCGCCUGCAUGAAGCCGGAAUCGCUAGUAAUCGCGGAUCAGCACGCCGCGGUGAAUACGUUCCCGGGCCUUGUACACACCGCCCGUCACACCACGAGAGUUUGUAACACCCGAAGUCGGUGAGGUAACCUUUUGGAGCCAGCCGCCUAAGGUGGGAUAGAUGAUUGGGGUGAAGUCGUAACAAGGUAGCCGUAUCGGAAGGUGCGGCUGGAUCACCUCCUUU
rnacentral:rRNA from 1 species